rnacentral:rRNA from 1 species
AGUAACGCGUGAGGAACCUGCCUCAAAGAGGGGGACAACAGUUGGAAACGACUGCUAAUACCGCAUAAGCCCACAGCUCGGCAUCGAGCAGAGGGAAAAGGAGUGAUCCGCUUUGAGAUGGCCUCGCGUCCGAUUAGCUAGUUGGUGAGGUAAUGGCCCACCAAGGCGACGAUCGGUAGCCGGACUGAGAGGUUGAACGGCCACAUUGGGACUGAGACACGGCCCAG